AAGGAAGUUAAAUGAAUUGCUUCAAAUUACCACCUCCCAGGAUUGAGAAUAAAAAUGAGCUUGUUUCUCCCCACUUAUCUCUGGGCACCCAUAUCUGGAACCACUGUUUGCCAAGAGUGACUGGUGAUGCAGUCACAGCCUGUCUAUGAUUGAUCUCAAUACGACUGUUUACAGCUCAGACACCUCAGAAAAUAUACUACUACAAAAAGUAUUGGUAAUUAAGCAACUUUUAGAAAUAUGAAAGUAGCAUGCUAGUUGCUUCUCCGUGUUAGCCUUUUGCUACUGCUACGGAAUCUUGAACAUAAGAAGAUGGAAGCACAAUGAGACAGCACCUGGAGGAAAACGGACAAGCUGUUGGCAGCUUAGAAGACAAUUCUGGGGUGAACAUCAUUCUCUGUUCUUCCUUCCUAAAAACUUGACAAUUGAGAAGGCAAUCGAUAUGAAACAAAGUUAACUCAGAAAAUGAAUAAAACAUGCUUAAUUUUCAGAUAC